GACGAACGCUGGCGGCGUGCCUAAUACAUGCAAGUUGAGCGAUGAAGAUUGGUGCUUGCACCAAUUUGAAGAGCAGCGAACGGGUGAGUAACGCGUGGGGAAUCUGCCUUUGAGCGGGGGACAACAUUGGGAAACGAAUGCUAAUACCGCAUAUUACCUUUAAACAUAGGUUUAAAGUUUAAAAAAUCCAAUUGAUUAACUAAAAGUUGAUCCCGCGUUGUAUUAGCUAGUUGGUGAGGUAAAGGCUCACCAAGGCGAUGAUACAUAGCCGACCUGAGAGGGUGAUCGGCCACAUUGGGACUGAGACACGGCCCAAACUCCUACGGGAGGCAGCAGUAGGGAAUCUUCGGCAAUGGACGAAAGUCUGACCGAGCAACGCCGCGUGAGUGAAGAAGGUUGUCGGAUCGUAAAACUCUGUUGGUAGAGAAGAACGUUGGUGAGAGUGGAAAGCUCAUCAAGUGACGGUAACUACCCAGAAAGGGACGGCUAACUACGUG
rnacentral:rRNA from 1 species